rnacentral:lncRNA from 1 species
UGCACCCCUUUUUUUCUUUCUUCCUUCCUUCCUUUUUUCCUUUUCUUUUUCUUUUUCCUUUUUUCUUCUUUUGUUUUUUUAUUUUUCUUUUCUCUUUUAUUCUUUUUCUCUUUUUUUCUCUUUCUUUUUUUAUCUCUUUUUUCCUCUUCUUUUUUCUUAUUUCUCUUUUUUCCGUUUUUCAUGUUCUUUUCUUUCUUUU